CUAAGCUUCCUGCCUGCCAGCCCGUCGUCCUCCUCCACGCCCCCACCCGCGGGCCUCCGCCGCGUCCACAUCUGGAGCUCCUCGACCCCAUCCCGUCCGCGGCGGUGACCAGCUGCAGCCUCUCUCUCUCUCUCUCUCUCUCUGCUCGGCUGGGCGGCAGUGAAGUGGGCAGGCGAUCCACUCAUCCUGAUUUCUCUUCUCGGUGUUUCACCCAUCGGUAAGGACAAGACACACAUAAACAUCCUGGUCAUUGGCCAUGUCGACCACCACUGGCCAUCUGAUCUACAAGCCAUCCGAGAAGUCGAUGGCGGCGGCGCUGGAGUUCCUGGGGCGCAGCGCUCGACACGCCCGGAGCUGCCGGAGUGCCAUGGGCAAGGGACAAGACUUGCAUCGACAUCGUGGUCAUUGGCGAUGUCGACCACCACUGGCCAUCUGAUCUACAAGCUUGGAGGUAUUGACAAGCGUGUGAUCGAGAGGUUUUAGAAGGAAGCCACUGAGAUGAACAAGAGGUCAUUCAAGUAUGCGUGGGUGCUCGACCAGCUGAAGGCUGACCGUGAGAGGGGUAUCAACAUUGAUAUUGCCCUGUGGAAGUUUGAGACCACCAAGUACUACUGCAAUGUCAUCGAUGCCCCUGGACACCUUGAUUUCAUCAAGACUCCACCACUGGCUGUUUCUCCUAGGAUGGUUGGACCUGUCAGCACACCCUCCUUGCUUUCACUCUUGGAGUGAAGCAACAAGGAACAACUUAAGGAAGGAGUACAGGGAGAAGCACCCUGACGUCAGGCAUGUCUUCGUGUGGCAAGAAGAUCAUGGUCGUGUGCAUCAUCAAGCACACCAUGGCGAGCAUCCACCUCCUCACAGUGGCAAGAAGAGCAGGUGCCUAGUUUGUAAUCGCUGUCGAAGGAGCUCCAUGCUGAAGAACAUAACACUUGUAGAGCUUGUAAAGUACCAUGUUAUUGAACUUGUGGAGCAUGUAACUAUGACUUCCACUAUUGUAUGUUAGAGUUAUUUGUACAACUUGCUACACUUGCUGAAGAACAUAACACUUGUAGAGCUUGCAAAGUGUAUGUUAGAGUUAUUUGUACAAUAGCAACUCUGUAUUGACAGCAGCAACACUGGCUGGUAUUUGAAGUAUUUUGUGUGUUUUC